UAUCCUGGCUCAGGAUCAACGCUGGCGGCGCACAUAAGACAUGCAAGUCGAACGAACUUAACCUCUUGCUUGCAAGAGGAGCGGUUAGUGGCGGACUGGUGAGUAACACGUAAGAAAUCUGCCUAUCAGAGGGGAAUAACAGUGAGAAAUCAUUGCUAAUACCGCAUAUGCCAUAAUUAUCGCAUGAUAAUAGUGGGAAAGGAGCAAUCCGCUGAUAGAUGAGCUUGCGUCUGAUUAGCUAGUUGGUGGGGUAAAAGCCUACCAAGGCGACGAUCAGUAGCCGGACUGAGAGGUUGAACGGCCACAUUGGGACUGAGAUACGGCCCAGACUCCUACGGGAGGCAGCAGUCGGGAAUAUUGCGCAAUGGAGGAAACUCUGACGCAGUGACGCCGCGUAUAGGAAGUAAGGUUUUCGGAUUGUAAACUAUUGUCCACAGGGAAGAAAAAAGACUGUACCUGUGAAGAAAGCUCCGGCUAACUACGUG
rnacentral:rRNA from 1 species